UGAGGCGCCAGCAGCCGAAAAAACCCGGCAUAACAAAGAGGUACACACACAAUCAAAACACGGAGGACAUACUCCAACUGCAGCGGAGCUGUCGCAACAGACCGCUUACAGCCGCAUGAAUGGGCGCUUUUUUGCUCUUCUUAAAAGACAAUAAAACUACAGCACCUGACAGAUUAGCUGAAGCAAAAAACUCACUUGGUAGUUGGUGCACAACCCCCCCUCACACUCACCCCCCACCACCUACUCUCCGCACCGUUGUUCGACAGGGUGGGAUAGGUGGGGGUUUACCGGACCAGUGAAAAACUGCGCAGCGAUUUUAUUGAAUAGUUUGGCCAAAGGAAUUUUGUACGAUGAGGAUUACCGACUGUUUUUUAAGUCGAGGCGUGCACAAAAUGCGGUUCAGUCUAUGUCUAUCCUCUGGCAGUUUUUGUUUGGUGUGUGGUUCCCACGGGAUCCUUGGUUUGCUUCAACGCGCUGUCUAGGAGAGGACCGAUCGAAACCGAAGACAAGUCAGCGGAACCAAGAGUGUCUGAAACAAUCCCGCUCUGGCCGCAGCUGAUAUGAUCUUCUGGCAGCGCCGACACCAUCCGUUCGCAGUGAGGAUGCUAUGCGCUGUGGGCAUCUUGAGUGUUUCCGGAGCGUCGGAUGAGACUGGAGAUAGCAGGUGUACGUCUUCUGAAAUAACAAACUGUAGAGAUUGCAUAUACCAAGGACCUGAGUGUGGGUGGUGCUUUGCAGAGGAUUUUCUGCCAGGAACAGCAAUCCAUCAAAGAUGUGAUCUUACCUCCAACCUUAUUCAGAAAGGGUGCAAGUCACAAUUCAUUGAAUCACCCCAAGUAAAAAAAGUAGUAAAUAGUGACGCAGGAGGCACACAAGUGACACCAAAAGAGAUUUUGUUGCAUUUAAGACCUGGCAGUGAAGCAAGUUUUAUCCUGGAAGUACACCAACUUGAAAAGAAUCCAAUAGACUUGUACUAUUUGGUUGAUGUAUCUGUGUCAAUGCAAGAAAAUUUAGCAGAGUUAAAGUCAGUGGGACUUAAGUUGUCACAGAGAAUGGAAGAGUUUACUGAAGAUAUUCAAAUGGGUUUUGGAUCAUUUGUGGACAAGCCUGUUUCACCAUACAUAAGUGUCUACCCUCCUAAAUUAAUCAAUCCAUGCAUUGAUUAUACAAGUAGCUGUAGUCCAGCACAUGGUUUUAUCCAUGCACUUUCUCUUACUAAAAACAUCACAGAUUUUACAAGGGUAGUGCAGCAGCAACACAUUUCUGGAAAUAUGGACACACCCGAGGGAGGCCUAGAUGCUAUGCUUCAAGCAGCUGUGUGUCAGAGACAGAUAGGCUGGCGGAAAGAAGCCAAGCAUUUACUUCUGGUGAUGACAGAUGAACCCUCUCACCUGGCACUGGACAGCAAGCUGGCAGGGAUUGUAAUACCUCAUGAUGGAAGCUGUCAUUUGAAAAACAACACAUAUGCGGGGUCAACUAAGAUGGAGUAUCCAACAAUUGGACAGCUAGCGGAAAAGUUACUAGAAAACAACAUAUACUGCAUUUUUGCUGUUGGAGAUAAGUGGUAUAAGUGGUAUGAGGAUCUUACCCCAUUACUUCCAGGGACGGUUGUUGGAAAACUUUAUAAACAGGCAACAAACCUUAAAGAACUGGUUGUUGACGCAUACAAGAAUCUAAUAUCUGAAGUUGAAAUACUGGUGGAAGGCCCCACAAGAGGUUUCAUCAUUAAUAUUACUGCCAAAUGCCCAGAUGGAACAGAAUAUCAAGGCCUGAGCAAGUGUAGGAAUGUGAAGCCAAAUCAGAAAGUUCUCUUCAAUGUAACAGUCAAAAUGAAUGAUUGUCCUUUGGAAGAAGGUGACAUACAGGUAUUAAUAAAACCUGUUGGAUUUAAUGAAACUACCAAAGUUAAAAUCAUAAGCACCUGCAAAUGCCAUUGCAGAACAUCAGAGGAAAAGGAGCCUGGAAGGUGUCAAGAUGAAAAUACUGAAAAGUGUGAGAACUGUCAAUGUAACACACCAGAUUCGGACUUGUGUACAUGUGAAAGGCCAACCGAUAAACUUUUAAAAAACUGUAAAGCUGUUGACACACAACCAGUCUGUAGCAGCAGAGGCACUUGCUCAUGUGGAAUAUGUUUAUGUGACCAAAGCAAUCUUGGAAUAAUCUUCGGCAAACAUUGUGAAAUGGACAAUUUUUCAUGCCCCUAUAAUAAGGGCAUACUCUGUGCUGGUCAUGGGCAAUGUGUAUUGGGUGAAUGCAAAUGCAAUACUGGAUGGGAAGGUGAAAACUGUAAUUGUACUGCUUCUCAGGAAUCAUGCUUGACUUCACAAGGGGAGAUUUGCAGUGGCAGAGGAAAAUGUAUCUGUGGGAAAUGCCAGUGUGAUGAUCCAAGAAGUUCUGGCCAUCUGUGUCAGAUUUGUCCUACCUGUGACAGUGCUUGUGAAACAAACUGGCAGUGCGUACAGUGCCACUUGUCAAAUGAAUUUUCAGAUAAUAAAACUACACACUGUAACACAACAUGCUCCCCUUUGGUACACUAUGUCAGUCAUCACUCCGAUACUUCAUUUUUUUAUUUUUACCAGCAUCGAGGGGUGAAAGCAAAACCUCAGCAUAUUGCCUUUAUCCAACAGAAGGAAACUGCCACUACAAAUUUCAAAUGGAAGCCCAAUUUGGUAUCAGGCAAUUGCAUAUCUACAAACACCCUGAGUGUUUAUCUGAACAACGUUACUUUCCUACAUUUAUUGUGGUUUUCCUUGUGACGCUACUCUUUGGAUUAAUUUUUGUAGUCACCCUGAGAUGUAUUAUAAUACGAGAGAGUAACUUAAAAAAUAAUUCUCCAGCUGUUGUCCACAUUUUGACAUCCAAGGAAGACAUAUCACGCAUACCUGCUGUGAAUGAAAAAACAGUAACUUACAGGCGAGAAAACCCUGUGGAGCAUCCAAUUCAUAAGAUACCACUGAAAGAAUUCUGAAGGCACAGUUGUAAAGAGUUUUAAGAAAGAAGAAAAGAGCUUUUAAGAUAUGUAGCAAAUAUAAUGUGAACUAGAAAGGAUAUUUUUUUAUUUUU